GUUCUUGAAAACCGGUGGGAAAAGAAAUGGGCGGGAUUGGGAAAUAGAGUUUUCGCACCGGUUCCAAUCAAACCGGUGCGAAAAGUGAGUUUUUCCCAUCGAAUCUGUCCGAACCAGUGCGAAAGCUAUUGCUUAAAAAAAAAAACCCCGGUCUGCCUCUAAAUGUAUACUAUUUCUUUCUCUUUCUGUCUUUCUUUCUUUCUCUUUCCUCCAUCUCUUUCAUUUUCCUUUUCUCUCUCCUUCAAUCUCCUUCUCCACCGGCGGCGGCCACCUACCCCCUCUAAAUAUAUACCCUCGCUUUCUCUUUCUAGAUCAAUCGUAUUUGGAGUGAGUGUUUUUGGAUUUUCGAAUUUUCUAGGUGGGUGUUUUCGGGUGAGUGUUGAGUAUUUCGGGGUGGGUGGAGUGAGUUUCGGUAGUUAAGGUUUAGUUUCAAGCAGACGACGCCUUCUAAUCUGUGUAUCCCCCAUUGAAGAGGCAGCUUCUGAGGUAACUUGUUUGAAUCUGAUUCAUUUUAAUAGUCAAUGCCGUAAGUUUAGGGUUCGAAAUCUCAACUAUUUUUGAUGUUUGAAUCAAAUUUGCCUUUGAAUUUUCGACCCUAAUUUGUAACUGAAUCAAAUAUCCCUUAAAAUAUGUUAUUUUUCGGGCAUAAUUUGAUAAUUGAAUCAAAUAACCCUAAAAAUAUGUGCUUUUUCGAAUUUUGAUUGAAUCAAAUGGGGUUUUGUUGAAUUUCGAUGUGAUUUGCAUGUGAAUAGUUUAUGUCUUUGUGUCUUUUUGAGGAAUAUAAUUUCUUGAUUAGUUGCUUGAUUUUGUGUCUUUCAAACAAUAUUAAAGCAUAAGAAGUAAAAUAAUCCUGUUUUCCUUGACAAUUACUGAAAUAGUGAAAUAUGCAUGGUUAGUUUUUUUGUUUGCGUUCUUAGUUAUCAUCUUGAUGGUUUUAAGCUUGCUGGUUGACUCUUAUAAUUGUUUAUCUUAUUAUUGUGGUUUCUGUGACUUGUUUAAUUGCGGUAGCAAUCCUAUAUAAUGGUUGUUAUGUUUGCUCAAUGCUUUGUCAUAGCUAUAUACUAUUAUCGUAUAAGAUUAUCAUGUUGAGGUGUAUUACUAUAGUUUAAGAAUAGGGAGAUCACUCUCCAACCUUGAUCUCUGUCUCAUCUAAGCAGAAACAUAGUUGCACGCACUAUGGUUUAAUGCUGAGCGACAGUUGUUCUGUAAUGUCAUUUAGAAUUUGUUUGAUGGCUUAUGACCGGAUUGAAAUUGUUGAUUUCUUAUGCUAUAUUGUCUUUAAGUCUAAUACAGAGUACAUUUCCGCCUUAUUUUCUCCUUGGGGUUUGUGUUGUAAAAAAAUUAUAUUUAUAAGUACUUGACAUUUAAAGCUCUUGUAAGACUAUGCAUCAGUUUUUCCGUAAAAAAAUUAUAAUCCAUUAAAAUUAGUUGCUUGAUUUUGUGUCUUUCAAACAAUAUUAAAGUAUAUGAAUAGCUUAAAAGUUAAAGCGUUGCAAGUAAAAAAAACAGUAGAAGUAUGAUUCAAAAAGCAUAAAAAAUAAAGCUCAAAAGACAGCUAUUUUGUUUUUCCUGAAAGACCCCCUUGUAGUAGGCUAUACCAAACAACAAUAUGGAGGAUAUUCUCAGUAUUAGAGCUCAUCAACAACUGCUAUGGUUUUACUAAAUAAGAUAUUGAUUGAUAAAAAAGUUGUGUGUUUGCUACUUUUAUAUCUAUCGUAUAUGUUGUAUGAUUCUUUUAUUAAUUGUUAAAGAAAGUAAUUAUUAAAAGAUAAUGUUAGCCAAUUUUAAUUCAUAUUAGUUACACCAUUUUUAAGUUACCCAUUUUAAAUUAGUUAUCUUUUAUUUCUACAUUAGGUUUACCUUAUAUCCUAAAACAAAUUUAUGUGAGGGUUAGUUUGUGUACGAUUGUGGCUUGCGACUUUGAUCAAUAUGAUAAUUCUAUCUUGUGUGUAUUAUCAUUAAUAUUAUCUAUAUGGGCUGGAACUUCUCGAAUUGUUUAGUACAUAGCUGAUCUAGGAAAUUGACAUUGUGGUUUAUCUCUUCUAAUAGUAUAUAGGAUACAGUGUUUGAUCCUGUUGCUCUUACCCGUGGCCAUAUAUUCUGCUAUAUGUGUGCCUGCAAUGCUGCAUUUGUGACUAUAGUUGAUAGCCUGCAGGCCACAUCUCCAAUGGAGAAGUGUCCAUUUUGCCGAGAGGUAAUCAUGAAUGCCCUUACUAAGUUAUUUAUGUUAUCUCGUUCAAUCUUUACCUUAAUCAUGAAUGCCCUUUACAUGCUUGAUAGACUGAUGAUUGUAUUUUGACAUUAAUUUUUUAAAAAAGUAAAAAAUUGGCAUUAUGGAAUAAUAAAAUAGAGGCUGUUUCCUUUUAUCUACACUUUCUAGACAAUUCCUUUUUCAUUGUUGUAUUAUCGAAGUUAAUAUGUUGGAUUUUUGGGAUUUUUGGGUCAAAUACCUAGCGACAAACUCCUAUGUUCCUUCACUGAAACGUAGUGAAGAGAUAGAGUGCAGUGUGUGCUUAGAACGUGUGCUCGCUAAGACAGCAGCCUCUGAAUGAAAGUUUUGUUUGCUAUCAGAAUGUGACCACCCAUUUUGUAUAACUUGCAUCAGAUUUUGGCAUAAUAGCUCACCAACCUCUGGAAUGGAUGUUAAUUCCACAUUGAGGGCUUGUCCUAUAUGUCGUAACAGCUACAGUAGAAUCGCAGAAAUUGCAGCCUCUUUCUCCUUAUACUGCAUAUGAAGACUUGAAGCCCGCUACUUCGUUAACCCCAACUCCUAAUUCAUUGGCCACUUCCAUGGCCUCGGAUGGUGCUGAAUCUCAGACAGCUAGCUUGUCAAAUAACGGUCCAGUUGAAUCUAUUGAAGCACAAGAUGCAGGGAAUGAGCAGACUUCCGCACAGCCAAAGCCAAGACCACUUUCAACGUAUACAAUGCAAGUAUGAUGAUAUGAAGCCACCAAGUAGUCCAAUGCCUUCACCAGAGAAUAACUAACUAUUAUAGAGCGGGUGCUGCCAACCAAGGGGUCUCUAACACGCUGUUGAACCAUCUCCAUUUUGAUGCACGGAUGAAAACUUCCUGUUAGUUCUCUGUUACAUCUGAAAAGCCGAAGAUUUUUUUUUCAAGUAAAAGUUAUAAUUUCUAUCAUAUUGUAUGUUAUUUAUUUUUUUGACGAAAAUUGUAAUA